GGGCAUUACCAUACCGGCCUGAGUACGCCUGAUCUCGUCUGAUCUCGGAAGCUAAGUAGGGUCGGGCCUGGUUAAUACUUGGAUGGGAGACUGCCUGGGAAUACCAGGUGUUGUAAGCU
ensembl:rRNA 5S_rRNA 5S ribosomal RNA